AAAAAAAAGGUACCAAAAGACUUGCUUGACACAGGGUUGCUACAAAUCUUCAAUUUGUAAAAAAUGCAAUAUCUACACAGUGUGAUAAAGUUAAGAUCAAUAAAACAAGGUAAGCCUGUAAUUUUGACAAUCUACACAUAAUUUACACCCUAGGGUUUGGCUUAGAAUAGGGAAUAUCAAUUGUUCAUCUUUGCAUAUGAAAGACCACUUUUUUAUAUCUUUGUUUCAGGGAGA